UACGUAGGGUGCAAGCGUUGUCCGGAAUUAUUGGGCGUAAAGAGCUCGUAGGCGGUCUGUCGCGUCUGCUGUGAAAACUCAGGGCUUAACCCUGAGCUUGCAGUGGGUACGGGCAGACUAGAGUGCGGUAGGGGAGACUGGAAUUCCUGGUGUAGCGGUGAAAUGCGCAGAUAUCGGGAGGAACACCAGUGGCGGAAGGCGACUGUCUGGGGUAUUGCUGACGCUGAGGCACGAAAGCCAGGGGAGCGAACGGG
rnacentral:rRNA from 1 species